CCUGCAGUUCCCGCCCAAGCCCCGCCCGACCCCACGAUGCCUCCGGCUCACGCCGUCACGGCGUCACGCGUGACGCGCCCGGGGAGGCCGCGACGCUGACGCCACGCCACGCCACCACCCGUCGAUAGACCAGCCCCCCGCCUCGUCGACCCCGGUCGUCGCCACCACUCUCCCCUCCAUUCGACCAUUCGUCAUGCUCCGGCGUCACAGGGCAGGAAUCGGGCGAAUCGUCCCCGGGCCAAGUACCGGAAGCCGAAGCGGAGGCGACCUGGUGCGGCCGUGCGGGGAGGCGGAACUGACUGCGCUGUUACUGUUCUACUUCGCCCGAAUUGUUGGCCAAGGUUAUGGGUUCUGUGACGAUGGAGGCAUGGUGGUGUGAGUGGUAGCGAGAGUAGAGGAAAUGGUGGUGCAGGGCCCGAUGGAACCAGUAGUAGAGGAACUCAACAGGCCCCAUGUGAAGAAGCACAGUAAUGAUAGCCCCGUCAGUUCUCCAGACCGGAAGGAGCCUGACAUUGGGAAUCAUUGCAUAGGCCAGAUAGAACUCGAGCCCAUUGAAGAUGAUCUGGUCAUCCCUGUACAGAAUGGACCUCUCCCGAUCCACCUGCUCGAACUCAAUACUACGGUCAACGAUCACAUUCUUCCUGCGAGCCGUCUGAUAGCGAGACAAGCUGAUCCAGAUUUGGUUGUGGAUCAUCCUUAGCAGCAGCGCUGGUAGCAUGGUGAUAUAUGCUGGGUCGAGGUCUCCCCACCCCUUGGUGGCCACCCUGUGGGCAGUGUGCAGCACCGCAGGCGCCAGGACCAGAUCUUUUGGUCCUUCUGAAGUUAUUGCUCCGUGUCAGUUCAACGUGGCUGUAUUCAAUUUUUCAUGCAGUCAUUGAUAUGUUUCGACUACUCUCCCGUGAUUCAGACUUGAUACAGUAAAAAGCUCGGGCUUCAUCGACUGAUGUGAGCUGACUAAUUUUUUGGAUUUUAGCGGCAGGUCAGUACUCAGUACACAAGCAGCUAAAAGCUCUAGGAUAUGAACUCCUGCUUAGCAUUUGUUUUCAGCUAAAGUCCAAUGAACCUGGAACAUUGGCAGAGGGUUUAAUUUUUCCACGCACCUACUAUUGGUGCAUGUUAUUACUCCACUGUGAAAUUUGCCAGCAGUGAUCUAAACCAGCAUCCUGAUAAGGUUGCAUCAUUUUUCUGAACCA